GUGGGGCUGCCCUGCCUCAGCUCAUGCUGUGGCUUCAUUUGUUGCAGACCAGUGGUGCAGGGGCAUUUGUGAGUUUGGCAUGUCUGCAACUCACUUUCCCUCGAUGGGGCUUGUUAGGGAAAACCGUGGCAAGGUCAACAGCAGCUUUCUCCAUGGCACUGUCCUCUUCUAAGCUUGAAGGAUGGAGGCAGGGGUGCACCGUGUACUGGGGAGCUGUGGGGUGGGGGGCACAGCCCAGCAGCAUCCAGGCCUGAGGAGGAGCACGGACUUAUGGUCACGGUGGAAGCACAAUGGUUGUUUUGUCCACCCCUCCAUUAACUCUGAGUGAUGAAAGAGUGAUCCAGGAGAUGACUGGGGAGAAAGCCUCCCAGACACUGAUUCUGGACACUGUUUUAGUGUUGUGAAGGCAACUAAGUGCAAGUGUGAGUGAUGAUAGCUAAUGAGUGUUUUGCCAGGUGAAUGUAACAGGUCCCAUCCCUGCAGGCUGCCUGCAGGUGCUCCUUGUUCCCUAUUAGCAUCCCUCUAAAGCUCAGCUCGUGGCCAGCCAUAUUUUGCAGGGCAUAUAGAGGGAGGGCAAGAAGCCCCUUUUCCCUGGGGAAAGGAAGUAGGACCUGGAGUGUGGUGAAGGCUGUUCAUGUGUAGCUGUCUUCUUAGUGAGCUGGACCAAAGGAUUGUGUACAUAGGUUGCAAGGUACUGCUGUGACACAGGCUUGCAGCUACAAGCAUCUGAACUCUGUGCCUUGUUCUAGCAAAGAAAGCUGCUUGUGGAGUGAUAAAUUGAUUUGAAAUGGACUUGGUAAAAAAAAAAGGCAAAAAAAAAAAAGGCAUGUGUAAAUCCCCUUGUUCAACUGACACUGCAGCAUGCGUGCUGCUGCUGAGUCAACUCUGUAGAGCACAGCGCAGACUGAACUUUUGCCUUUUUCUUCCUUUUCUCUGUGACUUGCAAAAAGCUUGGCCUGUGGCAGCCCAGCUCCUUAAGGCACUCCCAAGGAGGUGCUUGCUGCAUGCUGUGACUUCCCAGGGGGAGCCAUGGUCCAAAGCAGCUGGUUUUGGUGUGGGAUGUGGCUGGGACCUGGCACUGAGCACUACUUCCAAGCAAAUUCUGUGGCUGACUUCCAUGCAAACUCCUCUGCAGACAGAUUUGCUUCUCGAUGACCUCCUUCCCUCAUGCAUGUUUUGCAAGCAUGAAGCAAUCCUUCCUUGUGACUGUGGUAUGUGGAGCUUGCUGGCCCCUCAUGCCUGACCAAGACCUGUUUUUUCCAUCUAGAUGAGUACUAGAGGAGGAGGGAGCCUGCACCCUGUCCUGGUGAAAAGUGAGCAGAAAUACCCAGAAAUGUCAGCAGCUCUAAGUGGGACUCCAGCAGGGUCAGUGCUUGCCUGUGCCAGUUGGUCAGCUGUGUGCUGGCAGGGCAAGCAGAGACCCCAAAGUGGAUUUGAAAUUCUCAACGGGGCUUCUGGCUUGAGAUCUGCUGGCAAAAGCUUUCUCAUUUCUUAUGAAAGAACACUUGUCACUGAAUGAGUACAGGAUUUGCCCCCACUGAAGAAAAGGGAAGGAAAAAAGACCAGUUGUCAGUUCCUCCUUGCCUUCCCCACCAGGAAGGCACAGAAGUGCUCCUGGCAUGCAACCACCUCCCCCUGGGCAAGGCCAGACCCUGCCAGUCUCCGCAUGAACUUCCCAGAUGGAGAUGGCCCUGGGAUGGUUCUCUGGGGAAAAAAAAUUCCUUGAGAGCUGGGGGCUGCUGCGUGCUUCUGCCUUGUGCAAGGAGGAGCCCUGUAUGUCAACCAGCAGGUCGUGCCUUGAUGGUAAAUGAGCAGCUGCGUGAAUCUGAAGAGUUGGGUUAAUGAGAUGGGCUUCAGGCCGUCACAACGCUAAUGACAAAUGUGCAUCAGCGCUCAGGAGGCGGAAUGGACCCUGAGGAGAAGUCAGCCAGCACGUUUCCAUCGA